GAGGGUGUAACUUAGUGGUAGAGCGUGUGCUUAGCAUGCAGGAGGUCCUGGGUUCAAUCCCCAGUGCCUCA
rfam:Camelus ferus unplaced genomic scaffold scaffold472, whole genome shotgun sequence.